CAUUAAUAUUAAAAAAAGAACGAGCUGCAUACAUGCAUUUAGGUUUUGCAUGAUGGCGAGUUGGAGGUAGAACACAGAGUGACUCGAGAGGGAGUGCAGCCAGCCCUUAAGGGACCGAUGAGGGGAACCAGCAAACAGAACAAGUAGGGAGUGUACCGAGGCAGCAGAGGAAUGAGGGAGACAAUGUAAUGAAGCAGAGAGAUGGGGCAUACAGGUACUGGGGAGACAGAAUAGAGGGAUUGGGGAGUAAUGUAGUGAGUCAGCAAAGCAAGUGUUGAGGGCUGGGGUACACAGUGAGGUGUACAUGUGAAGGUACAGGGGAUUAAUGUAGUUUGUAAUGGGGGGGCAGUGUCAUCACAGUGUAAUGGGGGCAAGCAGAUAAAACGUAC